rnacentral:rRNA from 1 species
GACGAACGCUGGCGGCGUGCUUAACACAUGCAAGUCGAGCGGAAAGGCCCUUCGGGGUACUCGAGCGGCGAACGGGUGAGUAACACGUGAGUAAUCUGCCCUUCACUCUGGGAUAGCCACCGGAAACGGUGAUUAAUACCGGAUACGACCAAUCCCUGCAUGGGGUGUUGGUGGAAACUUUUUUGGGUGGGGGAUGUGCUCGCGGCCUAUCAGCUUGUUGGUGGGGUAAUGGCCUACCAAGGCUUCGACGGGUAGCCGGCCUGAGAGGGUGACCGGCCACACUGGGACUGAGACACGGCCCAGACUCCUACGGGAGGCAGCAGUGGGGAAUAUUGGACAAUGGGCGGAAGCCUGCUCCAGCAACGCCGCGUGAGGGAUGACGGCCUUCGGGUUGUAAACCUCUUUCAGUACCGACGAAGCGCAAGUGACGGUAGGUACAGAAGAAGGACCGGCCAACUACGUGCCAGCCGCCGCCGUAAAAC